GGAGGGGCGCCCCCAGGGGGGCUCCGUCGGUGAAGCGUCCGACUUCGGCUCAGGUCGUGAUCUCGCGGUUCGUGGGCUCGAGCCCCGCGUCGGGCUCUGUGCGGACAGCCCGGAGCCCGGGGCCCGCUUCCCAUUCUGGGUCUCCCUCUCCCUCUGCCCCUCCCCUGCUUGUGCUCUGUCUCUCUC